ACUCACCACUACAGUGCUGUCACCGGAAGAAGCGUGUGGUGAACAAAACACAAAAGUCAACAUGGAUUUUAAAGGGGUAGCUAAAAAUCUGUGGAAUAACCCGUUUGUUUGGACUUUGGGUAAAAGUUGGGGUGUAUUCCUAGUAGCUAUUUUUGUUGCCAGAGAGAUGGCAAAGGCUGAAGCAGAACAAGCUAUCGAGGCAGCAGCCCAGAAAGUCAUUCCGUCUUAAAUGUUUUAAAGAAUGUGAAUCAUAGAGUAAAACCAGACCAAUGACACCAUAGAACUUAGCUACCUGUGAUAUGUAGAAUGGAAAGAGUUGAAAGGAUUAUUAAAAUAUUAAAAGAAUCAUUAUUUUUA